CCUUUCGGAGGAGCCAUGAUGUCUUAAUUCUGGUGUCGUGGGGAAUCAGGACUGUUACUUUGAAAAAAUUAAAUUGUUUAAAGCAGGCACCCCCUUGAAUACAUUACCAUGGAAUAAUGAAAUAGGACUUCUCAAUUCUAUUUUGUUGGUUUCUAGGAUCAACUUAAUGAUUAAUAGGGAUAUUUGGGGGCAUUAUUAUUCAAUUGUCAAAGGUGAAAUUCUUGGAUUUAUUGAAAACUAACUACGGCAAAACCAUUUGCCAAGGAUGUUUUCAUUAAUCAAAAACAAAAUUUAGGGGAUCAAAAACAAUCAAAUACCGUCUUAUUCUUAACCAUAAACUAUGCCAACAAGGGAUCGGAU
rnacentral:rRNA from 1 species